GACAGAGGGUGCAAACGUUGUUCGGAAUUACUGGGCGUAAAGCGUGUGUAGGCGGCCAUAUAAGUCGGAUGUGAAAGCCCUGGGCUCAACCCAGGAAGUGCACUCGAUACUGUAUGGCUUGAGUACUGGAGAGGUUGGUGGAAUUCUCGGUGUAGAGGUGAAAUUCGUAGAUAUCGAGAGGAACACCGGUGGCGAAGGCGGCCAACUGGACAGAUACUGACGCUGAGGCACGAAAGCGUGGGGAGCAAACAGG
rnacentral:rRNA from 1 species